AUGCAGUUGGUCAUGGGUGGCCACACUGCGGUUUCGGUCAAUGGUAACGUCAGCCAAUUCUUCGCCAACGGUAGGGGCUUGAGGCAAGGUGACCCUGCUUCUCCUCUUCUCUUCAACUUUGUCGCGGAUGCUCUAUCUCAUAUUCUAACUAGGGCUGCCACAGCCGGGCACAUUACUCCUGUCAGCUCUCACCUUGUUCCUAACGGCAUUUUCCACCUACAAUAUGCGGACGACACCAUCAUUAUGGUU
rnacentral:rRNA from 1 species